GCUGGGCCUGGUGAUGCAUGCCUGUAGUCCCAGCUAUUUGGGAGGCUGAGGCGGGAGGAUUGCUCGAGCCCAGGAGGUCAAGGCUGCAGUGAGCUGUGAUCACACCACUGCACUCCAGCCUAGGCAACAGAGCAAAACCCCGUCUCAA
ensembl:misc_RNA Metazoa_SRP Metazoan signal recognition particle RNA